AAAAUAAAGAAACAUGUGGAAAAUUUUAAAAAGGUUGAAAGAAAAAAACAAUGGGAUUGAGUGUCCUCUCUUCCUUGCUCCUCCCGAGUUUUCUAGGACAUUGCAGGUGGGAUGAAGAUGAAGGAGAAACGGGGCGGGAAUGUGAAUAGGUUGACAGAGAAAACAGAAAAACGAGGCGUGCUCCCACUGGGGAAAAGGUAUUCGAGGUGCAAGAGGGGACAAAUGUCAACUGAUAGAGAUAAAUGAGAUGGCAUCACAGAAGCCAGUUUCUGUUUUUG
ensembl:ncRNA F22E12.6 ncRNA